AAGCUUUGUUAAGUCACUAGUUCAAUUCCCUCUAGCCAUAAUCUCUUCUAAUAUUAUAACUUUUUCUCUUUUGAACCCUCUUAUCGGAAUUCUUUGAACCCCCUUAUGGAAAAUUCUGCCUCCGCCACUGGUCCUAUUGUGAGUGAGGAACACUUGGAUCUUUUGGAAGUGACUCAUACUUGAAAGGUUCCAAGAAGAACUGCACAUAGUUUUAUCUUUUGCAGUCUUAGUGAAUAUUUGUUACAGUCUCAAUGGAUUCUGACCUCUGAGUGGAUCAAAAAUUAGUUGGGUGCAUAUAACUCAUCUUUUGUCAUAAGAUUGCUAAAGGGCUCCAGAGUCUCUUGAAGUUGUGAGAUUACAUUACCCUUAUUGACAGAGAAGAUCCACCAUCUAGCAGUAGUACAUAAUUUGAAAAUGAAAAUUGUUUAUCUUCCAAAAGUUUACCUGACCUGGCAUGUAAACUGCUACGAGGAGUAUUUGUGCAUUCAUAAAAUUCUUUUCCAUGCAGUAACUUCUUUGAAGCAUACUAAAUUUGAAAUUGAUGCCUUUUCUUAAAGCUAUAUUGAAGGAUAAGGAUGCAUACGACAGACAAUUCGCUAUAAAAGUAUCGACUUUUUGUCAAACAUAGCUGUAUAGGGUCAAAUUUGACCCUCAGCAUCUCUACGCCAGUGGGUACGCCCAGUGAGUGUAC